rnacentral:rRNA from 1 species
AGCGAACGCUGGCGGCAGGCCUAACACAUGCAAGUCGAGCGCCCAGCAAUGGGAGCGGCAGACGGGAUAGUAACACGUGGGAACGUACCUUUCAGUUCGGAACAACCCAGGGAAACUUGGGCUAAUACCGAAUACGUCCGUAAGGAGAAAGAUUUAUCGCUGAAAGAUCGGCCCGCGUCUGAUUAGCUAGUUGGUGAGGUAAUGGCUCACCAAGGCGACGAUCAGUAGCGGUCUGAGAGGAUGAUCAGCAUCACUGGGACUGAGACACGGCCCAGACUCCUACGGGAGGCAGCAGUGGGGAAUAUUGGACAAUGGGCGCAAGCCUGAUCCAGCCAUGCCGCGUGGGUGAUGAAGGCCCUAGGGUUGUAAAGCCC